UUAAACGGCCGCGGUAUUUUGACCGUGCUAAGGUAGCGCAAUCACUUGUCCUUUAAAUAAGGACCUGUAUGAAUGGUGAGACGAGGGCUUAACUGUCUCCCCCCUCCAGUCAAUGAAAUUGAUCUAUCCGUGCAGAAGCGGAUAUUAAUAUACAAGACGAGAAGACCCUUUGGAGCUUAAGAUAUUUAGGUCAACUGCGUUAAACCCUCUAAUUAAAAGAAAUAAACAAAUCAACAACUGACCCACAUCUUCGGUUGGGGCGACCGCGGGGGAAAACAGAGCCCCCAUGUGGAAUGGGACCUCCUCCCAAAACCAAGAGAGACAUCUCUAAGUCACAGAACUUCUGACCAAAAGAUCCGGCCAACAAGCCGACCAACGAACCAAGUUACCCCAGGGAUAACAGCGCAAUCCUCUUUGAGAGUUCAUAUCGACAAGUGGGUUUACGACCUCGAUGUUGGAUCAGGACAUCCUAAUGGUGCAGCCGCUAUUAAGGGUUCGUUUGUUCAACGAUUAAAGUCCUAC
rnacentral:rRNA from 1 species